GCAGAACGCGAAGAACCUUACCUAGGCUUGACAUGUAUUGCUAAGCACGUGGAAGCGUGUGACCCUUCGGGGACCUUACACAGGUGCUGCAUGGCCGUCGUCAGCUCGUGUCGUGAGAUGUUCGGUUAAGUCCCGCAACGAGCGCAACCCUUGUGACUAGUUGCCAGCGGGUAAUGCCGGGAACUCUAGUUAGACUGCCCAGAUCAACUGGGAGGAAGGUGGGGACGACGUCAGGUCAGUAUGGCCCUUACGCCUUGGGCUGCACACGUACUACAAUGCCCAGUACAAUGAGAACCGAGACCGCGAGGUGGAGGAAAUCUGCAAAACUGGGCCCAGUUCGGAUUGGAGGCUGCAACUCGCCUCCAUGAAGUUGGAAUCGCUAGUAAUGGCGCAUCAUCUACGGCGCCGUGAAUACGUUCCCGGGUCUUGUACACACCG
rnacentral:rRNA from 1 species